UACGGAGGGUGCGAGCGUUGUUCGGAAUCACUGGGCGGAAAGCGCGUGUAGGCGGCCCAUUAAGUCUGAUGUGAAAGCCCGGGGCUCACCCCCGAAAGUGCAUUGGAAACUGAUGGACUCGAGUCCCGGAGAGGAGAGUGGAAUUCCUGGUGUAGCGGUGAAAUGCGUAGAUAUCAGGAGGAACACCGGUGGCGAAGGCGGCUCUCUGGACGGUGACUGACGCUGAGACGCGAAAGCGUGGGGAGCAAACAGG
rnacentral:rRNA from 1 species